rnacentral:rRNA from 1 species
AGUGAACGCUGGCGGUAGGCCUAACACAUGCAAGUCGAACGGCAGCACAGUAAGAGCUUGCUCUUACGGGUGUCGAGUGGCGGACGGGUGAGGAAUACAUCGGAAUUUACUUUUUCGUGGGGGAUAACGUAGGGAAACUUACUCUAAUACCGCAUACGACCUACGGGUGAAAGCAGGUGAUCUUUGGACCUUGCGCGAUUGAAUGAGCCGAUGUCGAAUUAGCUAGUUGGGGGGGUAAAGGCGCACAAAGGCGACGAUCCGUAGCUGGUCUGAGAGGAUGAUCAGCCACACUGGAACUGAACCACGGUCCAGACUCCUACGGAAGGCAGCAGUGGGGAAUAUUGGACAAUGAACGCAAGCCUAAUCCAGCAAUACCGCGUAGGUAAAGAAGGUCUUCGGUUUGUAAAGCCCUUUUGUUGAGAAAAAAAAGCAGCAGAUUAAUACCCCGCUGUUCUGACGGUACCCAAAGAAUAAGCACCGGCUAACUUCGUG